rnacentral:rRNA from 1 species
UACGAAGGGGGCUAGCGUUGUUCGGAAUUACUGGGCGUAAAGCGCGCGCAGGCGGUUUUUCAAGUCAGUGGUGAAAGCCCGGAGCUCAACUCCGGAAAUGCCAUUGAAACUGUUAAACUUGAGGAUGAGAGAGGUGAGUGGAAUUCCCAGUGUAGAGGUGAAAUUCGUAGAUAUUGGGAAGAACACCGGUGGCGAAGGCGGCUUCCUGGUCUGCAACUGACGCUGUGGCGCGAAAGCUAGGGGAGCAAACAGG